UACAGAGGGUGCAAGCGUUAAUCGGAAUUACUGGGCGUAAAGCGUGCGCAGGCGGUUAUGCAAGACAGAGGUGAAAUCCCCGGGCUCAACCUGGGAACUGCCUUUGUGACUGCAUAGCUAGAGUACGGUAGAGGGGGAUGGAAUUCCGCGUGUAGCAGUGAAAUGCGUAGAUAUGCGGAGGAACACCGAUGGCGAAGGCAAUCCCCUGGACCUGUACUGACGCUCAUGCACGAAAGCGUGGGGAGCAAACAGG
rnacentral:rRNA from 1 species